GAUGAACGCUGGCGGCGUGCCUAAUACAUGCAAGUCGAGCGAACAGACGAGGAGCUUGCUCCUCUGACGUUAGCGGCGGACGGGUGAGUAACACGUGGAUAACCUACCUAUAAGACUGGGAUAACUUCGGGAAACCGGAGCUAAUACCGGAUAAUAUAUUGAACCGCAUGGUUCAAUAGUGAAAGACGGUUUUGCUGUCACUUAUAGAUGGAUCCGCGCCGCAUUAGCUAGUUGGUAAGGUAACGGCUUACCAAGGCGACGAUGCGUAGCCGACCUGAGAGGGUGAUCGGCCACACUGGAACUGAGACACGGUCCAGACUCCUACGGGAGGCAGCAGUAGGGACUCUUCCGCAAUGGGCGAAAGCCUGACGGAGCAACGCCGCGUGAGUGAUGAAGGUCUUCGGAUCGUAAAACUCUGUUAUUAGGGAAGAACAAAUGUGUAAGUACCUAUGCACGUCUUGACGGUACCUAAUCAGAAAGCCACGGCUAACUACGUG
rnacentral:rRNA from 1 species